UUUCCGUAGGUGAACCUGCGGAAGGUUCAUUAAAAAUUAACACUCUUCCCUAUACCUACCGGUCCCCGGCUCCGUCUCAACCCUUUAUGAACUCAAUAAACCAUUCUCUUCGUCACCCUUCCCCUACCGGCGUCAUCAUCCUCCCUUCCGCACACUUUAAUCCUGCCAUUUUAAACUUUGUCUGAACCCUUCUAAUUCCUAAUGACCAAUACAUCUUUCAACAACUGAUCUCUUGUUUCUUGCAUCGAUGACGAACGCUUCCGAUCGGAUUCCCACGCG
rnacentral:misc_RNA from 1 species